rnacentral:tRNA from 1 species
GGCGGGGUAGCUCAGUGGCAGAGCGAGGGUCUCAUAAUCCCUAGGUCGGGAGUUCGAUCCUCCCCCCCGCUACCA